UGGGGAAUCUUGGACAAUGGGGGCAACCCUGAUCCAGCCAUGCCGCGUGGAGGACGAAGGCCUUAGGGUCGUAAACUCCUGUCAGUAGGGACGAAAAAGUAGGGUCGAACAGGCCCUGCCAUUGACGGUACCUGCAGAGGAAGCCCCGGCUAACUCCGUGCCAGCAGCCGCGGUAAUACGGAGGGGGCAAGCGUUAUUCGGAUUUACUGGGCGUAAAGGGCGUGUAGGCGGCUUGAUAGGUCAAAAGGUGAAAGCCCUCGGCUCAACCGAGGAACUGCCUUUGAAACCAUCUAGCUCGAGGCCGGGAGGGGGUAGCGGAAUUCCUGGUGUAGCGGUGAAAUGCGUAGAUAUCAGGAGGAACACCAGUGGCGAAGGCGGCUACCUGGACCGGUUCUGACGCUGAGGCGCGAAAGCGU
rnacentral:rRNA from 1 species